rnacentral:rRNA from 1 species
UACGGAGGGUGCAAGCGUUAAUCGGAAUUACUGGGCGUAAAGCGCACGCAGGUGGCUGAGAAAGUCGAUUGUGAAAGCCCUGGGCUUAACCUGGGAAUUGCAGUCGAAACUACUCGGCUAGAGUAUGGGAGAGGACAGUGGAAUUCCCGGUGUAGCGGUGAAAUGCGUAGAUAUCUGGAGGAACACCGGUGGCGAAGGCGGCAUCCUGGACCAUUACUGACGCUGAGGAGCGAAAGCCAGGGGGAGCAAACGGG